CAAAUAUUUCUGUCUCUUACUCUCGCGUCCUCAAACUUUUUCGCUUAUCAUUAUUCUGGUUUUGUCACACUGAUUCCAACUCUGCUUCUCGCUAUCAAUUUUUAUCACUUUCUUUUCCGAGUUCCCGAGUUACCUUUUUUCUGGAGAACUGUUUCGGUGGACGCGGAUUGAAAUCGUUGGUCAAAUCUACGUCGGUGUUGGGACGAUGAACGUGGUCAAUUUUGGACAAGUUCAACUUUUACUCUAAAAGAGCUUGGUUUCCGAGCCACGAACUCGACAGCAAAGGAAAUUACUUGGCAAAACGGGGCUCGCGAAUGAAGCACAUUUUCCAGAGGAAGUGCAGCCGAAAGAGUUUUUGUACGAAAAUAAAAUAGCCGACGACGAGCACGCCAGGUAUUAGAAAUUUCGGUUCGUGCGGAUAAGUUUUCUGCAAUAUUGGAAAUUCGUCGUUGAUUUUUUGACGGCGAGCAAGAGAUUAUUUGGACUUGAAGAGGUUCAGAAGCUGACGCAUUCGUUGAAAGUUCUUUGCGAAUCCUUCAGGACAUCGCCAUAAAUUUUGACCAUUCGGAAAUCGAGAAACCCUUUUUCGUAUCUUCGAUCUUGACUGACCCUGGAAAGCGGAUUACCGAUCUCCGCGUCACUGCGGAAACAUUGAGUCAUCUGUUCGGCAUUGGCUUUGCCAUGAUGAAUAACCCAGCAAAAAUUCUGACGUUUGUCGAGUUUAACAGACGCUGCUACAACUGAAAAAUGUGGGGUACGCGUUUCGUGUUGACUUCGGUGAUUAUUUUUUACAUCGAUCGAUGCAAUCGCAGUAGAUUCGAUCGGUCAUGAUUAGAAUCGUCGUGGGAGCUUUUUUAUUUGUAAAAAACCCGCCCGCACGCAAAAGAGGCUUGCGUUGAAAUAUUUUGAAGCAACGUGUCGAUUCUCUCGAACGAAUCGAAUUAUUUUUCAGGCAAUAUUGAGCCGCGUUUUUCCUUAAAUCCACUCGUCGUAAAACUUGUCUUUAUCGCUGUUUUUUUCCCCGGGGAUUACAAAGUUGAAUCCUUGCGGUUUUGUCUUACAGACUUUCCCCCACUGCCAGAUCCGCGAUCAGGCUUAAUGGUGACGUAACGAA